ensembl:scaRNA Gm25624 predicted gene, 25624
UAUCUGCAGUAUUGAACCCACACUGGGUUGCUGGAACCCUAGAACACACAGGACUUGAAGAAAAAGCAUGCUCCAGAGGAAGCUGACACAUCCCUACUUAAAAGCCAGUGGCUCCAUGUACAAUUUUCCUCUGCUAGGCUCUGGGUACUGUUUCCAUGGUGAUAACAGCUGUGCCAUGUCAUUAUCGAUCCACUAACAGUAAAAAAAGCCUUGCAGUCAGGAUAAUGUUUAGCAGACAGCAUGGUUUCUGUUGGACACUAAGUUCUGCUACAAAA